AAUAUCAUUUCGUUUUCUGUAUUGAGUGUGUACAGACGUAUUCUGAUACUUUCUAUUAUGAAGAUAAAAUUAGUAUUCUGUUUGCUGAUGACAUCGGCGUUCGCUAUUACGUCGGACAUAGGUGUGGCGUAUAGUAAACGCGCGUUUAGUUUACAGUACAAUUAUCCGAAAUCAAAUUCAACGUCAAAAGAUGUAAGUACAUUUACUUUGAGACAUAAAAUCGAUAAAGAAGAGGAAGACAAAAUAUCUAUUUUCUUCUACCUAGUUUAUCCCCUCUUCUGGUAAAGGUGAACUAUGUCUCUUUCCAGAUUCCCGAGCUGGGCAUCAAGAAACCAGGGAAAUCAUAAACUGGGUCUUACAAGAUAAUCCGUAUUCAGUGAUAAUGGAUAUCUACUUUUAAUAAA